CGCUGGCGGCGUGCUUAACACAUGCAAGUCGAACGGUAAGGCCCUUCGGGGUACACGAGUGGCGAACGGGUGAGUAACACGUGGGUGAUCUGCCCUGCACUUCGGGAUAAGCCUGGGAAACUGGGUCUAAUACCGGAUAGGACUCCUGGCUUCAUGGUUGGGGGUGUAAAGCUUUUGCGGUGUGGGAUGGGCCCGCGGCCUAUCAGCUUGUUGGUGGGGUAAUGGCCUACCAAGGCGACGACGGGUAGCCGGCCUGAGAGGGUGACCGGCCACACUGGGGCUGAGAUACGGCCCAGACUCCUACGGGAGGCAGCAGUGGGGAAUAUUGCACAAUGGGCGCAAGCCUGACGCAGCGACGCCGCGUGAGGGAUGACGGCCUUCGGGUUGUAAACCUCUUUCAAUAGGGACGAAGCGCAAGUGACGGUACCUAUAGAAGAAGGACCGGCCAACUACGUG
rnacentral:rRNA from 1 species